AGCCAUUUACUCUGACAUCCCUGGUGGUGGACACCCAUAUCUAACUAGUCUGGCAGUGGCUGGAGGAGUGUACUAUCUGGGUCUGGAGGGCGCCAUCAUUGGGCCAAUCCUGCUCUGUAUCCUACUGGUGGCAGUGGACCACUACAGUGCCAUGUUAUUGAGCCCCAGCUAUGCAGUUGCAACACCAGUGCAGCCAACUUUGCCUGUCCACACCCUCAGGACGUUUACAGACUGCACACCAUCUGUCCUGAAGACCAACACUGAGUGAGAACCAGAGGCUGUGUCCCUGAUGAGAGCUGCCUUUUGGCUGAGUCCUCAGUGGAAGUGCUCCCUGUGAUGAAGCUCUUCCUGAAGCCGCAGGAGUCGGCCCCGACCAAUCAGUGAUGACGGUGAAACGCCUGAUCACCCACGACGACGCCUGCUCCUCAGAACUGUUUCUGUCAGUUUGGCCUCAGUCUUCUCUCCCUGCUCCUAACACAGUGAACCCUGAUCCCAAACAAGGACCAAUGAUGACUUUGGCAUUUAAAAAUAGUGACUAUGACAGCAUAGAUUACAUCAUGAAUUUGAAUAAUGUGCCUGAGUUGAUUCAUUAUGUUAACAAAUAGUUUAUCAUGUUAUUUUUGGAAUUUUUGGAGAAAAAUAUUUCUUUUUUCUUGAUGCUAACUCCACUCAUCAUGAAUUUAACUGAAAUGCAAUUCAGGUUAAUGCAAAUUAGAUUAAAAUAGAUAUAAUAACAAAAGAAAAUAUAUACAAAUCUAAAAAAUAAAAUUCUAGAGACCUUAAAAAAAGGGAAAGAUCAUGAUCAGGCUUUUUCCUUAAACAGAGAUGAAUAAGAAAUUCCCCACAAACUAAUGGGAGUCACAUUGCCUCUUUGUGUCUCUCUGAACAUGCUUUAAAAUUCUGUCUUUUCCUGUGGUCUCGCUCCGGGCCACGGUCUGACUCGGCUUUGAUCGGUUCCCUCAAAGCAAAGACCCGGCAUGAUUCUUCUGAAGUCUGCAGCACGUGACACAGAGUGAAGCCUUCCUGAACAUACAAAGCUGUAAAUCUCCUUAAUGGCAGAAUCAAACAGGAUCACAGUAAGGUGUCUCCUCAAGGAAGAUGUUCCUGGAUCCUCAGAGCAGAUUCUUUGAAGAGCAGAUGAAAGCCGAGGAUCCACGGUGGACCUGGUUCCGAGAUUUAAUAUGUGAAAGGUUGAUGUGAAAUUCAAAAAAACGUCUUCCAUGCCUCUUCAACCACUGAACACACCACAGGUCGACACGUCUUUAGGUUUUUACAUUUACUUAAGUGACUGCGAGAUGGAAUGUAAACAUGCCAAGAUCCUGAUGGAUGAAUAAUUCAACAGAUUCAGCCAAGACUUGGAAUAAUCCACUCUCCACAUGUGCUCACUCCGCCACCUCCACACAGCUCCAGGUGAAUGAUUAAAGAGGCAGAGAACAGACACAUUAUCACAGAGUUUCUGAACAGACUCAGCUGCUCUGUUGUCAUCUGCUCAGUCUGAUCAAACUUGAGAAAUCUCUUGCUUUAGACUCUGAUGACCUCGGGGGACAUUGAUCACGUUAUGACACAGAUUGAGAUCUAACAUUUGUAAUAUAUUUCUGUUUUAGGAAAUUUAGUAAACUCUGUUUAUAUAAUCCUAAUUAGUCUUUGGUGGCAAGAAAACUAUGUUUUAUUGAACGUUGUUAUUAUUAUAUCUAAAAAUAAAUUAUGGGAUUAAAGACAUAGACACACUAGUAUUAAAAUGUGGACAAAUGACAUUUUGUACCAAAAUCGCUGUUACUUUUGAUUCCUAGAGUAAAACAGUUCUACAUUAUAAUGGUUUCUGUUUCUCCCUCAAGUAAAAAUGUUUUUUUACAGUUUGGAAAGACAGAAAUCACAAGGGUCCUUGUUCUGUAAACUUUUUACCUUUAUUCUCUACAUUUGGAUCAGCUCAGUGUGGAAGCCUGGACAUGUCAGUCAAAUGUAACCCCCCAGCACCCACCCACCCUCUGAAAUUAAAAUAACAAAAACAAAUAUAGAACAACUGAUACACUCCAACCCCUUGAUUUCACAAACACCAACUGUUCACAUCUUUGUCGGCGUGAAAUGCUUGGACAUGAAAAAAAAAAAAACAAA